GCCUGGUGUGACAGGGGGAAUUGUAUAAAUUGCCCCCUUGGAGGCUAAGGCCUCGACCUCUUGGGUUAUCAACUCUCGGUCCCGAGUGGGGAACACCAUUCGGCCGAGGGGUUUCAGUUGGACAGGGUAUUACACAAAAUCUUUAGAGUAACCCCGGACCGUGUGGAGCACCCAGGCAUCAUGUGCCAUGCUUUGACAAAAUGGCCCAGUCUGCCCCCCACCAUAGUUAAUGCAGACAUACGAGGAGGUAGUGCACUUACCAUAAGGUCGUCGGCCAUAUGAAGAGCCUCUGGGUCCUCGGGUUUGCCACGGUCUGCCUCGAACCGGGAAGAACGGUGAGGCUUGUUUGGGUUCCGGGGGUGUGAAUCUGGAUUGCACGGAGCCACGAGAGCCCCGGGGCGAGCGGCCGGGCAGACGGCCCUGAUAUCUGCCGGCCCCGCCAAAAACCCUCUGAUGGAACACUCGCUUCAUGCUGGCUUGAGCCUUAUCAAGUGCCGUAAAGGUGCCCACAUAUGUGCCUAGUUCUUUCACGAAGUUAUCCCAGAAUAGGAGGGCUUUAGCCUGGGGACCCGGCUCUGAGAUAGCUAGGUUUACUAGCUUAGGCUCAAUUUUAAUUAAAAAAAAAUUUUUGCGUCUUUCCGUGGCCACCACUGUAUUAGAGUUGCCCAGGAGACACACGGCACGCUGGAUCCACCGUCUGAGGGCUUCCAGGUCCAGUGGUG